rnacentral:sRNA from 1 species
UUACACAGUCUACUAAUAGUUCUCUUAAU